CCUACGGGAGGCAGCAGUGAGGAAUAUUGGUCAAUGGGCGAGAGCCUGAACCAGCCAAGUCGCGUGAAGGAUGAUGGCCCUACGGGUUGUAAACUUCUUUUGUCAGGGAGCAAUUGGGUCCACGCGUGGGCUUAGCGAGAGUACCUGAAGAAAAAGCAUCGGCUAACUCCGUGCCAGCAGCCGCGGUAAUACGUAGGGAGCAAGCGUUAUCCGGAUUUACUGGGUGUAAAGGGCGUGUAGGCGGGCAUGCAAGCCAGAAGUGAAAUCUGGGGGCUUAACCCCCAAACUGCUUUUGGAACUGCGUGUCUUGAGUGAUGGAGAGGCAGGCGGAAUUCCCAGUGUAGCGGUGAAAUGCGUAGAUAUUGGGAGGAACACCAGUGGCGAAGGCGGCCUGCUGGACAUUAACUGACGCUGAGGCGCGAAAGCGUGGGGAGCAAACAGGAUUAGAUACCCUGGUAGUC
rnacentral:rRNA from 1 species